CUACAAUACUUUGGCCUUUUGGGUACGGUAAUGGCUACAAUAGGCCUAGUUUAACGGGCAUAUUGGUAUGUCAGAACUCGACAUUUCCUGAUGCAAUUCAGCAGAAUUUAAAGAAAAAAAAAAUGGAUAGAGUAUAUACAUUCCAGAAAAGGUAAAAAUGGCCCUGGAAUUGAUGAAAGAAUAGACGACCUUCCGAUAAAAUUCCCAUUUGAAGAAUUAGAAUGGGAAAUUGUAACAUCCGAUGGGAGUGAGAAAGCCUGGGAUGCCAGCUAUAGGAAUAGGAGGUCUCAGAAUUACUUUUCAGAUUUGUAACCUUCCAAUAUUUAGGAAUUCCAGAUUUUUUCCUUAAUCAUUUACUUCUUCUAUCACGGCUCUCCCACAAUUAUGCAUAUAUGCUGCACCUUUCCGUCUCCAUAUAGAGAUACCGGAUAUCUAAAUUCUCAUUCAAUUACAUUUCUUGUCAUAAGCCCUGGAUGAUGGAAGCAGAUGUCAUGAACUGCAUGCCUGCAUCAUGUACACAAAUUCAUUUAUUGCCUGUUCACUUCUCAGCGGGUUGUCAUGGCAUCACAUUUCUCUGAGGUGCUGAAGGUUAG